rnacentral:rRNA from 1 species
CUCASAUUUGAAAUCUGGCGCCAUACCGGCGUCCGAGUUGUAAUCUGUAGAGGAGUAUUCGAGUGUGGCGCUGGCUUAAGUUCCUUGGAACAGGACGUCAUAGAGGGUGAGAACCCCGUUAACGGCCUUUGUCUUAUGCUCAUGUGAAUCUCCUUCAACGAGUCGAGUUGUUUGGGAAUGCAGCUCUAAAUGGGUGGUAAAUUCCAUCUAAAGCUAAAUACUGGCAAGAGACCGAUAGCGCACAAGUAGAGUGAUCGAAAGAUGAAAAGAACUCUGAACAGAGAGUUAAAUAGUACGUGAAAUUGUUGAAAGGGAAGCACUUGCUACCAGACACGCCUGGGGCCGAUCAACCUUCAUUUUUGAUGGUGCACUCGGCUUCAGGUGGGUCAGCAUCAGUUAUGGCGGUGGGAUAAAGACUUGGGGAAUGUGGCUUCUCUCGGGAAGUGUUAUAGCCCUGGGUGUAAUACCGCCUGCUGUGACUGAGGACCGCGCCUUAACGGGUGAGGAUGCUGGCAUAAUGGUCGUAAGUGACCCGUCUG